UGCAGUCGACGGUGAGAGGAGCUUGCUCCUCAGAACAGUGGCGGACGGGUGAGUAACACGUGAGCAACCUGGCUCUAAGAGGGGGACAACAGUUGGAAACGACUGCUAAUACCGCAUAACGUAUCGGGAUGGCAUCUUCCUGAUACCAAAGAUUUUAUCGCUUAGAGAUGGGCUCGCGUCUGAUUAGAUAGUUGGCGGGGUAACGGCCCACCAAGUCGACGAUCAGUAGCCGGACUGAGAGGUUGAACGGCCACAUUGGGACUGAGACACGGCCCAGACUCCUACGGGAGGCAGCAGUGGGGGAUAUUGGACAAUGGGGGCAACCCUGAUCCAGCGACGCCGCGUGAGGGAAGAAGGUUUUCGGAUUGUAAACCUCUGUUGACGGAGAAAAAAAUGAUGGUAUCCGUUUAGAAAGCCACGGCUAACUACGUGCCAGCAGCCGCGGUAAUACGUAGGUGGCAAGCGUUGUCCGGAAUUACUGGGUGUAAAGGGAGUGUAGGCGGGAUGUCAAGUCAGAAGUGAAAAUUACGGGCUCAACUCGUAACCUGCUUUUGAAACUGACAUUCUUGAGUGAAGUAGAGGCAAGCGGAAUUCCUAGUGUAGCGGUGAAAUGCGUAGAUAUUAGGAGGAACACCAGUGGCGAAAGCGGCUUGCUGGGCUUUUACUGA
rnacentral:rRNA from 1 species